UACGUAGGUGGCAAGCGUUGUCCGGAUUUACUGGGCGUAAAGAGCGCGCAGGCGGUUGUUUAAGUCGAAUGUGAAAGCCCCCGGCUCAACUGGGGAGGGUCAUUCGAUACUGAUCGACUUGAAGGCAGGAGAGGGAAGUGGAAUUCCGGGUGUAGUGGUGAAAUGCGUAGAUAUCCGGAGGAACACCAGUGGCGAAGGCGGUUCUCUGGGCCUUACCUGACGCUGAGGAGCGAAAGCGUGGGGAGCGAACAGG
rnacentral:rRNA from 1 species